AUGAUUAUAGAGAAGUUUUAUAGUUUUGCAUGCACAGGUCUCUCUUCCGGCGAGUGUCGCCGGUCCUCCCUGCCUCCGGCGCGGCGAGGCCGGUCCUCUCCUUUCCCCAUUUCCUUUCUUUCCAUUUCUCUUUUCCCUAAGUCUCAAUCCCCAAAUUAUAAAAUCAAAAUCCUAGGGUUUCUACCUCUCUUCAUCCCCUCUGGAAUUCGUCUCUCCGGCGAAGCCUACAGCCCCGCCGUCGUCUCUGUCACACCGCCGCCUCCUCUGUUUCAGGAAUUACUCCGGCGUGGAAGCUCGUCUACCGAUACUGCGCCUCAAGUUUCUACCUUUUUCUUGUCCUGUAAAUUUAUUCUCUUUUGCUGAUUUACUGAGAAAUUGAUAUAUCAUCUAUAGGUGUAGUAACUUUAGUGUAAAGCUUGGUUGUUUUCUGUAAAUUGAAAGAAAGCAGAGAUUUUUGCACAUGAAAUAAAACUAUACAAGUUUAUGAAAAUUACCGAUGGAGAUUCUGCAGUGAUGCUGAGUUUACGGUUUUAGCAGAUUGUUUUG